rnacentral:rRNA from 1 species
UAUGACGGCCACAGCGGUGGGGAUACACCUGGUCUCAUCCCGAACCCAGAAGUAAAGCCCGCCUACGUUCUCUGCGGUACUGUGGUGCGCGAGCCCAUGGGAAGUUUAGCCCCUUCGGGG